rnacentral:rRNA from 1 species
GACGAACGCUGGCGGCGUGCUUAACACAUGCAAGUCGAACGGUGAAGCGCCUUCCUUUUUGGUGGGUGUGGAUGAGUGGCGAACGGGUGAGUAACACGUGCGUAACCUGCCCCCUUCUUCUGGAUAACCGCAUGAAAGUGUGGCUAAUACGGGAUAUUCUGGGUCUGUCGCAUGAUGGGUCUGGGACAGAUAUUGUUUCGGUGGGGGAUGGGCUCGCGGCCUAUCAGCUUGUUGGUGGGGUGAUGGCCUACCAAGGCGGUGACGGGUAGCCGGCCUGGGAGGGUGGACGGUCACACGGGGACUGAGACACGGCCCAGACUCCUACGGGAGGCAGCAGUGGGGAAUAGUGCACAAUGGGGGCAAGCCUGAUGCAGCGACGCCGCGGGAGGGAUGGAGGCCUGCGGGUUGUGAACCUCUUUCGCCAGUGAAGCAGGCCUGCCUCGUUUGUGGGUGGGUUGACGGUAGCUGGAUAAGAAGCGCCGGCUAACUACGUG